rnacentral:misc_RNA from 1 species
GUGAAUCAUCGAAUUUUUGAACGCAAAUUGCACUCCCUGGUAUUCCGGGGAGUAUGCCUGUUUGAGGGUCGUUAGAAGAAAAAUCGAAGCAUCUCUCUUUUUUUUGAGGGUGAUCGCGUCGGAUUUGAGUCGUCUUUUAAAUGUUAAUUCAUGUCAAAGUGGCUUAAAAUUCAUCCAUUAGGUACGAUUAAAUCGUAUUUAAGACCAAUCUUGAUUAAGAACGCGCGAUGACGUACCAUCUCAUGUAGUACGUUUGACUUGGCGUCGUCAGGAUCAUUCGUAUACGAUAUUCAAACUUUUU